UAUCAUUAAGUGGAAGGAAGUUCAUUCUGAUAACAGUCAGAAAUCCCUGACGUGUUACGUCAUUUCCUUUGGCAUAAGCCCAUGGUGCCUAACUCUUGCCCUGAGCACGCCGCUCUGUGAACCCGAUCACCCCUCCCAGUAAUCCUCGCUCUCCUAACUGUGGUGAUUUUGUCACAUGAACUGCAGAGCCUGAAAGCUGUGCACGCACAGCCUGUCGAGGACACGUCACAAACGACGGUCACACUCAUGCACGGCUAAUCUCAUUACCCUUGUCUCCAUGCAGUAUGGGGUCAACAGGGUUGUGCUGCUUGUGCCACCGCGGUGCACCGGGAUCAAAACGAUCAUGAAUUUCGGUGAGGCUUCACAGAAACAUGAGUCACCUCAGUAUGAGAGGUGGUUCGUAUUAAUAGCGGCUAUCAAGAGGCCUAAGUUGCCUGCAGCCUCAGAGCAAAACAUGUUGCUGGGUAAAAGUUGUUUGUGUGUCCCUGGAUGAAAAGUCAGUGCAGCCUGUGUAUAGUGUCUGUCAAGUCUGGUAUUUUAGAGCAGUUUGUACAACAGGUGCAACUUAAGAUACAGUGAGAGUUAUUCUGAGUGAUAGCUCAAAUCACCAUUAAAACAUCUCCAAGGCCACUCGGUCUGUCUGAAGGGUUGCAGAGUGAGUAACUUGACUGCUUAAGUGCACUAUGCACAGAGGACACUUGGUGCUUGACUGCUGAGCUCACAAAUGUGAUUGUGUUUAUACCAAACAUCCGCUCAGAAACACCUGCAAUACAACUCACCAAAUUUGAUGAAAACGAAUAAACUGUAUUUUCUGCAGCUGUAAUGCAACUGCUUGCAUACUGCACACAAAGCCUUCACUCAGGUUCCACAAUGCAUGUACAAACCAGGGCGUCUAUCUGGCAAUAUACAGCAGGUAUUCAAAAGUAGAACGAUUUAAAGCAAAAAAAAAAAAAGAAAAAAAAAAAAACUGGUGCUCACAAUAAUUGCUCUGCAAUCUGUCACAUUUUGCAUCGAUCACAGGGCGGUGGCCACAGCUGUUUGACAACAUGAUGUAACACUAAUAAGCCUUUAUCACAAGUGCAGUAGUUGAUGAGGUGACUUUGCAUUACCAAAAACUUUUCUGACCAAAUUUAACCUUUCUGACUUUUUAAUUCCUGUGAAGUAAAUAAAUGUACUGGAAUCCCUCUUCAGCUAAAGUGUGUAUUAAGAUAUACAUCACCAGAUGGUUCAUGUUUCCUCUACUGCUUUACAUAAAUUCCCCUUCAUUUUGAGUAUGUUGUGCUGAUUAAGUAUGACAGUGAUGAUUUUUCUGCAUUAACCAUAAAUAUCAAAGUAAAUGAACUUCAGGCCCAGCUCAUGGAGCAAAUUCUACAAAACAUCCCUGCAUGAGGCCCUGUAGGUCAUGUCCUAACCUCUUCAAUAGAGCAGAUAUGUGGUAUUGAUCAGUUCCCAUAGCAUCAAAUAUUGACUCAUAAUAUGAAGCUGAAACUCUGCAGUCAUUGUUCCCCAGCAGCAAAACGCUCUGAAGCCACAUGCGCACCAGGACCUGAAUUCCCCACAGAAAACAAUUAUCAAAAACGAAACGAGGCCAAAUAAAUAUUUUGGUUCCCCACAAACGUUACCAGUCAAAACCCUUGUUGGCUGUGAUAAUAAGUUGCAGUCCAGCCCUUAUGCACAGUGUGGUGAGUCAGACUCGCCAUGCAGCCGUGCGGAGAUAUUGGGGACAGCCUGCGCAGCGGAUGAAACAGAUGAAAAGCUUUCGCUGGGAUGUGAAUAAUCCCGUCCUCGCGACAGUCGUCGGACCACCUCGUAGAUUAUAACUCGGCUGAGGAUCACUUUCUAGGCUGUUUGAAUUAAAUGAAGAGCAGCGGCGGCGGCGGUGACACGCACGCAGUUCUUCAGUCGACCUUCUUCCUGGACACUUUGCGAAGCGCCAAAACAACACGAAGCAGCUGCAGCCGGAGAGGAAGCCUCAACAUGCAGCUUUUUCCUCGGUUUCCACUCCUGCCUGUUGCACUGUGGACGCUGAGGAGGAGACUUUCAUCUGACAAGCAACAAGCACAUGGUGCGUUGUUAUGUUUACCCAGCAGAUCAAUGAAUAGCGAGAAAACAGAGGCCCUGAAACAAUCACUAGAUGUGGAUGAAAGCGGGAAGAGCUGCCGAAUUUCGUAUCCCGACCAGACGUUUGCCAUCUUUGCACUGAAAUAUUGGCAGUAAGAUGGGUUUUGACUCCAGCCACAGGCACAACCAAUUUGGCCAACAAGUGAAAUCACGGACAGACAGACUGGCGAUCGCAGCAGCAUUAUGGAGGCUACCUGACAUGCUGCUGAAACCGUGAUGGAGGCAGGAGGCGAUCGGCCAGUGUGUCGUCCCCCCCCACCCCCACCCCCACCCCCACCCCCACCCCCACCCCUCCUUCGCUGCGUGUUACAGAGCAGGUGAGAAACAUUAACAGAGGCAGCAGCAGCUGUGGCCCUCUGCUCCGCACAUGUGGGCCAGGAUAUGAGCUAUAGCUCGAGCUCGCCCACUCUCAACACUGGUCACUGAUGUUAACACUCUCCUCUCUGAAGCACAGAAAACUGCACAAAAAAAAUGCAUGAGUUGCAAGCUGUUCAAGCAGAGAGAGAUUUGUUUGUUUAAUUUGAAUCAUUUUUUAGAGUAAAACUAAGUACUUCACAAUAAAAAAAGAAAAAAUUAAAGACUCAAAAAAACAAAAUUUGCAGAGACAUGUUUCAUUAACAAAAUUAUUUCUGUCUUUUGAAUCAUUACUUGGCCUCUUGUAAGGUCCCAACCUGCAAGCUGGGAACCAAAUCUGUUGAGUGAUAACAACCUCAUUUUCCACCAUCUUUCAGCACUGAUCACAGGCCUACUGAACACUGAGCAAAGCAUGGUUUUUUGGAAAGUAUUUAAUGAAUGGAACAUUGCAUUUUAAUAGUUUUGAGGUUCAACUAUUUCUUAGUAAAAAUCCAAAUUUUUGAUGUCACUGCCCCCCCCCUCUAAGUUAUAUACUGGUUGCAUUUCAAUAUGGAAAUAUCUUGGCUACAGUAUUUGUUUGGGACAUGCGCGCCUUGUUAGAUCAUUUGAAUUCCUCUUGAGCUUGAGCCAUGAACCGGAUGACCCUGUCGUCACAUUGUGUUCUGAACACACAGACUCCAGUCACACCGGUGAGGUGUCCCAGAGGAGAGUGGCAUGUGUGUUUGUGUUUCUGUGAAUCAUAACCGCUGUUUUGUAUUCAGUGAGGUGUGUCAAAGUGGAUUACCUGCAUGAACGGGGACCUGAAAGGACUUUGUUUUUUAAAGACUGUCCUUUGGGGUGAGGUAGUAGGUUGUAUAGUUUUAGGGUGAUACCCUUCCUGUCAGAUAACUAUACAACUUACUGUCUUUCCUGAAGUGGCUGUAAUGUCUUCAGAUGCCAUUGUUGGAGCUUUUGGAUCUGGAUCAACACUGGAAUGUGCAUGUUUACCCACUGACUGCUAAGAACAUAACCCAGUCGCAGAAUUUGAUAGUUAAUUUAGGUAUUUUUAGGCUUUUCAUGGUUGUACUUUAAGAAUUUAUGGUGAAUAAAAAAACAUGUGUUAUGUCAUGUUGUUAUAUCUUGCUGGUCAAUCAACACAAAAACUGAAGAUGUUCUUAUCUAAUUUUCACCCCUUUUCUUUAGCUGUGGUUUCUAACAGUUCCUUAUUCUUUUUUUUUUUUAGGAUGUGUUGCUCUUUUCCUCAAACUAAUUGAUUCUGAUUACUUGUAUCGUUUGUGUUUUAGACAUUAAAGCUCAAAUCAUGACAGUUUUGAUAUGAAUUGUUUUUAUUGUCACAAUGUAUGAGGAUGUGUUUGUUUACCAUAAUAAAAUAUAGUGUUUCUAUGUCACCCUACCAUAAUGCUCUAGAGUACCAGCUACGCCAAAGCUUGCCGACCUGUAGGACCUUUCUGAUGUUCGUACGGGGUGAGGUAGUAGGUUGUGUGGUUUCAGGGUAGUGAUUUUGCCCAAUCAGGAGAUAACUAUACAACCUACUGCCUUCCCUGAAGGGCAGCAAUCCUUCAACAUACAGACAACAGGGGGUUGAGUCAUCAAGCCAUCUCUUAGCUGGACCAUAGGCAUCCACAGCCAGUCAUAGCAGCGGGUCCUGUCUGCUGCUAUGACAGGACCAGCAGGUAAAUGGAAUUUCUGUUUGCUUUUGAUUUUCUGCCUCAAACAAUAAUAAAAAAAAUUAAAUACAGAA